rnacentral:rRNA from 1 species
UACGUAGGGUGCGAGCGUUGUCCGGAAUUAUUGGGCGUAAAGAGCUCGUAGGCGGCCUGUUGCGUCCGCUGUGAAAGCCCAGGGCUUAACCCCGGGUCGGCAGUGGAUACGGGCAGGCUAGAGGUAGGUAGGGGAGAAUGGAAUUCCCGGUGUGAGCGGUGAAAUGCGCAGAUAUCGGGAGGAACACCGGUGGCGAAGGCGGUUCUCUGGGCCUUACCUGACGCUGAGGAGCGAAAGCGUGGGAGCGAACAGG